UACGUAGGGGGCAAGCGUUGUCCGGAUUUAUUGGGCGUAAAGAGCGUGUAGGCGGUUUGGUAGGUCCGCUGUGAAAACUCGAGGCUCAACCUCGAGACGCCGGUGGAAACCAUCAGGCUAGAGUCCGGAAGAGGAGAGUGGAAUUCCUGGUGUAGCGGUGAAAUGCGCAGAUAUCAGGAAGAACACCCGUGGCUAAGGCGGCUCUCCAGUACGGUACUGACGCUGAGACGCGAAAGCGUGGGGAGCGAACAGG
rnacentral:rRNA from 1 species